GACGAACGCUGGCGGCGUGCCUAAUACAUGCAAGUUGAGCGCUGAAGGUUGGUACUUGUACCAACUGGAUGAGCAGCGAACGGGUGAGUAACGCGUGGGGCAUCUGCCUUUGAGCGGGGGACAACAUUUGGAAACGAAUGCUAAUACCGCAUAAAAACUUUAAACACAAGUUUUAAGUUUGAAUGAUGCUAUUGCAUCACUCAAAGAUGAUCCCGCGUUGUAUUAGCUAGUUGGUGAGGUAAAGGCUCACCAAGGCGAGGAUACAUAGCCGACCUGAGAGGGUGAGCGGCCACAUUGGGACGGAGACAGGGCCCAAACUCCUACGGGAGGCAGCAGUAGGGAAUCUUCGGCAAGAGACGAGAGUCUGACCGAGCAACGCCGCGUGAGUGAAGAAGGUUCUCGGAUCGGAAAACUCUGUUGGUAGAGAAGAACGUUGGUGAGAGUGGAAAGCUCAUAAAGUGACGGUAACUACACAGAAAGGGACGGCUAACUACGUG
rnacentral:rRNA from 1 species